rnacentral:rRNA from 1 species
AUUGAACGCUGGCGGCAGGCCUAACACAUGCAAGUCGAGCGAGCGGCGGACGGGUGAGUAAUGUCUGGGAAACUGCCUGAUGGAGGGGGAUAACUACUGGAAACGGUAGCUAAUACCGCAUACCAUCAGAUGUGCCCAGAUGGGAUUAGCUAGUAGGUGGGGUAACGGCUCACCUAGGCGACGAUCCCUAGCUGGUCUGAGAGGAUGACCAGGCACACUGGGAAUGGGCAACCGUCCAGACGCCCACGGGAGGCAUCAGUGGGGAAUAGUGCACCAUGGGCGCAAGGCUGAUGCAGCCAUGCCGCGGGUGUGGAGAAGGCCUUCGGGUUUGAAAGCACUUUCAGCGGGGAGGCGUUACCCGGAGAAGAAGCACCGGCUAACUCCGUGCCAGCCGCCGCGGUAAUAC